UAUAAUGUGCAAAACACACGAGUGCAAAAGGCCUUUGCUGCACUCGAGAUCAUUCUGCACUCGCCUGCGGCUCGUGCGUAAACAUUGCUCUCGUGUGCAGCAAAGUGCCACUUUGCCCACUAGUUACACAAAUGACUAUUACUUAACGUUGACUUGUGACCUACCUACAAUUUUAUUUGUUGCAUUAGAUUUGCAUAUAUUUGUUAGUUAGUUCUUGGUUUGGCAUUUAAUUUCUUAACCAACUAAUAAGCUGAUGAGAGUUUAUACAGUAUUAUAUACAUUCAUUGCUUAACAUUUGUUUCAGCUCGGUAGAUUAUUCCAAAGCAUGGACUUUAGUAUCACAUGCCAUAGCAAGAAAGUUUGGAAGAAGAAAAUGUUUGGUGUUCUUUGCAAUUAGACGGAAGAAUGACUUUAGACUAAAAAAGAUAUUAGUCGGUGCUCACUCCAACUCUAGUGUUCAAGAUUUUCGGUUCAAGUUUGCUAUUCAAGAAGUGAAGAACAAUUUUGUGCAAGAUGUCGGAUUGAACAAGAAAUUUUCUGUGUGAAUUAAAAGUGAGAAUCAAGUGUGGAACUCAUAUAAUUUUGUUACCUUGUACUCAUAAAAGUACAUUAAAUAUUUAAGUGAACUGCCUAAAUACUUCAGGCAUAUAUGUAAUAAAAAGCUGUCUAAUUUUAUACCAAUAAAAUUAUUUGUUUUGUA